GGCUUCCUAGGUGAGAGGGAGUGGCACUGGGGACCUGCCUGGCUCCUAAAGGAAGUUUCAGGUUCGCUCGCUGUGCUUAGCCUUGGAUUGUAGAUGGGAGGGAACCGACUACAAAGAGAAAGACCAACAUCUAUUGAUGCCUUCCCCUUACCGAGCACCUUGCUAGGAACUGUGAAGAAGACGGCCUUCAUACAGACACAAAAAGAAAUCAACUUUUACACCACAGUGCAAUUAAGUGUUAUGUUAGAGAAACGCACCAGCUUAGGUAGUGAUCUCAGGGUCGUGGGAUCGGAUCAUGGGAUCAGGUCGACGGAUGGGCCUCUGCAUCAGGUUCUGCACUCGACAUGGAGUCAGCUUGUCCCUCUCUCUCUGCUUCUCCCCCUGCUCUCUCUCUCU